GCAGAGCGGCAUGCUAAGCUGCAGCAAAGUGGGAUGAGCACGAGAGGAUCAUUUAGGAGGAGAAGCAGCGCCUCUUCAUGCCCCUGGGUUCUGGGCCAUCGCGUCCCCCGGGCCUCGGCCUCGAGUGCGAGCAGCAGCAGUAGCUGCAGCAGCGCUAGCCUCCCGGCCUCACCUGCACCGUGUGGCCUGCAAAGCCUUCUCCAGCCCCUCCCCAGCUGGCAGACAGGGAUCUCCUGGACCCCUUGGCUCUGUGACUAGCAGCUGUCCAGGAAUUUUCCUGGAGGACCGAGACUGGACGGUCCAGGUGAAGGUGCCUGCUGCAGUCAGACAUGAGGCACAUCUGGGUGAAGAUGACAUUACAAUCAAGACUUUCCCUGUGCUGGUAACCAUGACAGAUGUGCUAGAAGCCAAACCCCUGCCACCAGGUACAUCAGCCCAGAAAGCUGAACUCAUUGCCCUGACUGGAGCCUUGAUCAUUGGACAAGAUAUACAGAAGUGGAAGUAAUCCAUCACCAGUAGACGCACACUGAAGAAAUGUUAAAAGAAGUCCUUCAGGCAAGAAAAUGGCACUAGAUGAAAACAUGGAUCUACACAAAGAAAUGAACACAAGAAAUGAUAAAA